UAAUGUCUGGGAAACUGCCUGAUGGAGGGGGAUAACUACUGGAAACGGUAGCUAAUACCGCAUAAUGUCGCAAGACCAAAGUGGGGGACCUUCGGGCCUCAUGCCAUCAGAUGUGCCCAGAUGGGAUUAGCUAGUAGGUGGGGUAACGGCUCACCUAGGCGACGAUCCCUAGCUGGUCUGAGAGGAUGACCAGCCACACUGGAACUGAGACACGGCCCAG
rnacentral:rRNA from 1 species